rnacentral:lncRNA from 1 species
CACAGAUGCAUGCUUCUGGGGAGGACUAGGGAGAAAGCAGGUAUUGGAGAAGCAGGGGAUUGUUUAUUUGCUAAAAGUGUGGCUCUUUCACUCAGCAGGUCUGCUACUGCCUACUGAGGAGGCCUCUCGACAUCCUCAUGUCAAACCCUGCAUGUUCGGGCGCAUCUUUAAAAUCCAUCCUAGGCCAGGUGCGGUGGCUCAUGCCUGUAAUCCCAGCACUUUGGGAGGCCGAG